rnacentral:lncRNA from 1 species
ACUGAGUUUCGCUCUUGUUGCCCCCCUGCUGGAGUAAAAUGGCCUGAUCUCAGCAGCUCACCACAACCUCAGCCUCCCAGGUUCAAAUGAUUCUCCUGCCUCAGCCUCCCAAAUAGCUGGGAUUACAGGCAGGCACCAACAUGCCCGGCUAAUUUUGUGUUUUUAGUAGAGAGGAGGUUUCUCCAUGUUGGUCAGGCUGGUCUCAAACUCCCUACCUCAGGUGAUCCACCCGCCUCGGCCUCCCAAAGUGCUGGGACUACAGGCGUGAGCCACCCUGCCCGGCCUGAAUGUCCUCGUUUCUAAAACAGCAAAUGGGAACCAGUAGCUUCCUUCCUUGCCAGCACUCCCCUGGCUCCCCAGGCUUUGGUCAGGGUGAGACUAGCCAGGGCACUUGCUGCCCAAAUUUCCUGCUUCAGAGAAGUUCUACCAAGCAGCUACAGCAGCCAGCCCUUGCCUCUGCCUGGCCUUGCUGCACGUUCACUGCUACUGAGACCUACACUGGGGAAGGGGAGUACAGAAUCCCCAGCUUCUGCUCUGCAGGGUUGGGGAGGGAGAAUCCAGACCCUUCACAUACAUACUUUUUACAGGAGCGGAAACUGAGGUCCAGGAGAUCAUGUUACUUGUCAGGCUUUUGAGGGGCGCUAAGCUGGGUUGGACCUACGUGUCCGGGUUCCUAGCCCAGAACCCCUCUGUUUAUCCAAAUAGCUGUUUCUCUAACCGAGCUCCUCUCUGUAUAGAGGGAUUUCUAGUAGCCUCUCCUCCCUUCCAAGGUUCUGGGCCAGUUUGUUUUCAACAGUGUCAGGAGUAAGUGCACUGGGGACUGGGAGAAGGGCCACCGCGGGAUUCGGAAUUUAUUUCGUUUUCUUUGCUUCUUCUGUGACCCUUACUUCUUUCGCCUACCGGCUCAGCCUGUUCGGCGUCUUGCAGCAGUGCCUGCGAUCCCGCGUGAGUCCGUCGCUCCCUCCGCGAAAACCUGGACUCUUUCCCAGAAGCCUUGGGCUCCAGCACCAUGCCUGCUGCAGCCGCCAAAGAGCGGGAAGCCACAGGCUCUGCGGGUCUUGGUUACAGCGUCUCUGGUCGUGCCGGGCCUCCUUCUGCAUCUGUUCCACGGCCCGGCCAUCUCCCUCGUGCAGCCCAGAACAAUUGGGAGGAAGCGUUGGCGGGCGGAGGGGGAUGCCUGUUGGGCUUUUCCACUAGUUACUGAGUGUUUUUUGCGAAGAGUACGUUGCUAUCAGUGGCGUCCGGGUCGUCUCUCCCUCUCUUCCUUUUGGUCCCCAUAAAUGAGCUGUUCUCGGCUCUGGGAAAGAAAAGCCCUCCAGCGAUUAUGCGGAUCUAAUUAAGUCAAUCAGGAAACUGCCGGAGAGCGGCACUGGCUUGAAGCGGAGUUUGUCCUGAGGCACAGCGGAACGAUUGCACGCGGCCCUUUUCAGCGGUUCGAGCUCGGCCAGCGCCGGGCUGCAAACGGAAGCCUGAGCUGGGCUUGGGGAACUACGCCCGCAGAUUUCUCUAAUUUUAUUCACAAAACUGGACACCCUCAGGGAAAGCGGCAAAGCCGGCGCGAGCCUCCUUCCCACUCUGGACCUAGCUGCAGCUCCAAAGCGAGAUAGCUGUCUAGCCUCAGCCGGUACAGCUCCCGGCCCCUUUCUCCACCCGGAUCUUCGGCUGCUCAGAAGCGAUCAGCUCCCUUAGCCCAGGUGGGAGGCGGGAGACUCCAGAUCCUGUGACCCGCGGAGGCAGACCUCAGACAUGUUCCCCAUGCACAGAAAUGACUGGGGCUCCAGUGUGUGCACCUUCAACUCUGAAGCCCACCUGCCCACUUCAGGCGCUGGCGCGGAGAUAACCACCACGCGUCUGCCGGGCAAAGUUCGAGAGUGAAUUUACAUCUUCUCUUUCCGCUACUCCUGGCCACUGUCCCCUCCCAGCCCCAUCUCCCCCGCCCCCAACCCUGGACUAUGUGGUAGGGGACUCGCUUAAGCACCCAAGUACUGCGCGGUUGUUGAGACCAAGGCGAGCUGCGGAGCCUGUGGGCUGUUGUUCGUGGGAAGAGGGUUGCGACCUCAGGAGAGACCGAAAACAGCGCCACUUGAAACCCGCCGGUCCUGAAGAUCACAGAGUUCCCGGAGUGGUAGGGAAGGCUCCACGCUCUUGAGAGCAGAGGCGGCCAGGGGCAGUGGGGGACGCUUCCAGGUAUGUGGGAAGGAGAACUUCAUGUCUAAGUGCGCUCUUGUGGGUUUCUCGGCCAGCUGGGCCGAGCCUCUCUUUCUCUGUCCUCAUGUGUCUGUCCUCUGGACAACAGUGGCUCUGUAUGGCGGAUUGCGACCCUGAGUGACGGGCGCCUGUCUUGCAUCCUGUGUCCUGUGUCCUCCCCUCCAGACCUCAUGCUUGGUGUCCACAGAGUGGACCCAGGACUGCCUGGAAGGCUUAUCAUCCAGGCCCGCGACUUCCCCCCAGAGUCUGAAGCCUUGCGACCUGGUCGGGGACGACAAACCUGCUCGGGGUCAACAGCGAGACCCUAGUGGGGAAUGAGGAUGGGUGAGGGUGCGCCUGGGUUGAGGGUCUGUGACUGUAGCAUGGAAAAGGAGUUCAUGCAGGGAUCGCACUGAGGGACAGCCAAGAAUACUCCAGCGGCAGCCUCCCUCCUACCAAUUACACGCCGCCUGCUGGCACAGUGGCACCUCGGGAACAGGACGCCCUUCCGGGCCCUGAAUUGGGGCAGCGCAGGAGGGAGGGUGCAGAGCCAUAGCGACCUGUGUGUACCAUAGACAUGCACAUGCGCUCACCUUCACGUGUAACCCUUCUGAGUCCCAGACAGGGUAACUGGCGAGGCCGUAAGUACCCUCGUGGGGGCGGAAAUAUUGCCGCGUCCCUGAGUCCUCUGGGCAGAUGCAGAGCCGCGUAAGCCUCAUAGAAGCAAAGCCAGGGGAACAGUGGGAGCUCUGGCCUCGCGGUGCGGACGCUAGUAAUGGAUUCCUGGGGAACAGCGACCUCUGGAGGAGCCUCUCAUCCACACAGAGUCAGGAACUAAAGGACUGGUUCUGAGACAAAGCACCCUUUCCUCACCCUACUCCCAUUCCACCCGCUUGGAAAAGUUAUCCAGAGACUUUUAACCUCCGGACUCCACUCUUCGCUUAUGUUUGCUUUUUUUUCCAACCUGUACCCACGCUUCAAAAUCCCUGCUCCAGUCCUGCCUCUUCCAGAAAGAAGCCUUCUGGCCAGCCCAGUUCCUCUUCCCCUCUUCCUGUUCUGAGCUCAUUCUCAGGCCACACUGCACAGCCAACCUGCUUCCUGCCUGCUCUUCUCCAAAAAGACUGUGAAUCCACUCCACCCACGCCUUGUGUUGCAUGCUGGGCAUGCCGUUCCCUGCCCCAACCCACCCCACCCCCCAGUGAAUAAAGACUGAAGUUAUUCAUUCCA